AUGGGUGGAAAUUCUACCCAAGAGUGCUCCAAUGAUGAAUUGGCUUUCUUCUCCAAGCAUGUGGGAGGGUUGUUGUUCCGUGUCAACACUCUCCUAGUGGCGAACACUAUUUUGAUGGGAGUCAUAGCUGGGAUAGGCUCCUACGGGCGUCGCUAUCGCCACCAUCCUUUGAUCCGUUUUCUCUACCUAGGAGCCACCACCAUGUUCCUGCCCAUCCUCUCCUAUCUCGUAUCCACCUUAGAAAAUCCUUACACAUUCACCAUAUACACAGAACGAGACCGAGUCGCAACAGCAACUUGUACAGCGGACAACCACGUAGGCAUGGUCAUGUUGUGGAUUGGUCUUGUUCAAAACAUCGGUACCAACGCCACGGCAAUAGUGGCCGGUGAUUCUAGAGAAGGACGAAGCAUUGCACCCCCUGCAGUGCAGCUUGUUCAAGCAAUGUGGACAUCCUACCUUGCCUACAUCAUUUUGGAAUCAGCUGGAGCUCCUUCUGGAUAUGUCAAAUGGUCACGAGAUACUAUGCUACAUCCGGUGAUAUAUCUCUUAUUUGGACUGCCAUAUGUUUUUAUCUUGGCCAAAUUGCUUUUCAAGUACUAUGCAUGGUACAAGGCCACACGAUCAUUAGCGCUUGGACGGAAUCCACGUGUCAUUGUUGGAUACAUGGAGCGGCUACAAUAUGGAGCCCGUCAUUCUGAGCUAGUAAAUCAGCAUGUACCUCCUCCACUUAUACUCAUGGGAGAGGGCACUGUUUCGGUAGAAAAACGACCCCAUGGUUACAGCUUGACAGGGAUGAACAAUGGUGGCUUAGUGACCAUCGACCGAGUUUGGCAGUUGGAUGACACGGUGCUUCCCAAGCCAACAGAGCAGCACAAGGAUUUGUGCCUUUCAUUCGCAUUGUUCAAGCUGUUGCGGUGUCGGUUUGCAAGAUACACCGCAGGUGAAGCUGGUUUUAUGAAAGUCAGCAACUUUAUACGGCUUAUGUUGCUUGAAGAUAGUGAUGAUGGAAGGGUAUUUGGGUUGAUUGCACAUGAACUUUCAUUUCUUCAUGAUUACUAUUAUACGUCCCUCCCAGUCUCAUAUUCAAUUGGCUGGCUACCCAUGUUGAGCGCAUCCAUUUCGCUCUCAAGCAUCGGCCAUUGCUUAUUUUUCAUCUUCUAUUUGGCAAGUAGCACUCGUGCAAUGCUGGAUCAAGGGCAUGUUUCUGGGCAGAUUUAUUGUCCUCAUGUGCACUGCAAUCGUGAAUAUGAUCAACCAGAUCCGACUCAGAGUGGAAAUCGGGUUCAUUUUGGAACAUUGUCGUUUGAUCUCCUGGAACUGUAUAUACUUGUUAUGCUAGUUUUGCUCGUUGAAGCGAGGGAGAUCGCUUCUUACAUCUGCUCCAGUUGGGCCAAAGUGGCCCUGAUCUGCGGCUACACAAGGCAUACUUCUUGGCAGAAAUCUCCGACCAUUCGUAAAUGUGUUGGCUAUGUGCUACGCACCAGAUGCAACCUCAUCGAGCACUGGGUCGACGAGAUGAACCAAUGCUCCGUACUGCUGCUCCACCAAAGGAGAAAGCCAGUGGCUCUUCUUCGGCGUCUCCUUCAUCGGCCCGACGAGAAGAAGAAGGUGCCGAAAGCAGUGAAGACUGCCGUCGUGGGUGCGGUGAGAAGGUUCGAUCAAAGAAUAAUCAGGUGCCGAAGGAACAGUGUGACGCCUCUGCAAGUACGAGUGGGCAACCACGAGCUUCUUUGGACAUUCCAGGUAGCCAAGGGAGUUGCUGAUGCCAUGCUCGUGUGUCACGUCGCCACAAGUAUCCUUGAAGUGAGAUCACGACGGCCAAACCGGCCUCUCUCCAACCCUGAGGUAGUCGCCAAUCAUAUAUCGCGAUAUUGCGCCUACCUGGUGGCCUACUGUCCCGAGCUACUCCCCGACGACGCGGCGUGGUGCAGGAGCCUGUACAAGGCCGUCAAGAAGGAUGCCGCGCGCGUCCUCAAGGGCGCCAGCCAUCGGGUGUCGACGGCGACGCCCGAAGCAGAGGAUCAGCACCUAGUCAAGCUGCUGAGGCAGCGGUCGAAGCACCAAGUGCUCAAGGAUGGUGCGGAGCUCGGGCGGCGGCUGGCGGAGCUGCCGGCAGGAGAAGAGGUGGCAUGGAAGACCCUCGCGGAAUUCUGGUCGGACACACUCGUCUACGUCGCCGCUGCUUGCGACAACAUCGACGACCACGCAGAGGCCGUCGCCCGGGGCGGGGAGCUGGUGACGCUCCUCUGGGCCCUGCUCGCCCAUGUCGGGAGCGUCGACGACGACACCGCCGAUGCCGCUGCAACUCAUGGUGCUCCCGAUGCUGUUUAA
rnacentral:rRNA from 1 species